AUUGAACGCUGGCGGCAUGCUUUACACAUGCAAGUCGAACGGUAACAGGCCUUCGGGUGCUGACGAGUGGCGAACGGGGGAGUAAUGCAUCGGAACGUGCCCAGAGGUGGGGGAUAACGCAGCGAAAGCUGAGCUAAUACCGCAUGUGGUCUGAUAUUUAAAGCGGGGGACCUGGCAACAAUGUUUCGCCUCGCGCCUUUGUAGCGGCUGAUGUCGGAUUAGGUAGUCGGUGGGGUAACGGCCUACCAAGCCGACGAACUGUAGCUGGUCUGAGAGGACGACCAGCCACACUGGGACUGAGACACGGCCCAGACUCCUACGGGAGGCAGCAGUGGGGAAUUUUGGACAAUGGGCGCAAGCCUGAUCCAGCAAUGCCGCGUGCGUGAAGAAGGCCUUCGGAUUGUAAACCGCUUUUGUAAGGAAAGAAAAGGUUCUGGCUAAUACAUGGGGCUGAUGACGGUACCGUAAGAGUAAGCACCGGCUAACUACGUG
rnacentral:rRNA from 1 species